GACGAACGCUGGCGGCGUGCUUAACACAUGCAAGUCGAACGGUGAAGCACCUUCCUUUUGGUGGGUGUGGAUGAGUGGCGAACGGGUGAGUAACACGUGAGUAACCUGCCCCCUUCUUCUGGAUAACCGCAUGAAAGUGUGGCUAAUACGGGAUAUUCUGGGUCUGUCGCAUGGCGGGCCUGGGAAAGAUAUUGUUUCGGUGGGGGAUGGGCUCGCGGUCUAUCAGCUUGUUGGUGGGGUGAUGGCCUACCAAGGCGGUGACGGGUAGCCGGCCUGAGAGGGUGGACGGUCACACUGGGACUGAGACACGGACCAGACUCCGAGGGGAGGCAGCAGUGGGGAAUAUUGCACAAUGGGCGCAAGCCUGAUGCAGCGACGCCGCGUGAGGGAUGGAGGCCUUCGGGUUGUAAACCUCUUUCGCCAGUGAAGCAGGCCUGUCCAUUUUGUGGGUGGGUUGACGGUAGCUGGAUAAGAAGCGCCGGCUAACUACGUG
rnacentral:rRNA from 1 species